rnacentral:rRNA from 1 species
CCUACGGGAGGCAGCAGCAGGGAAUAUUGUGCAAUGAGCGAAAGCUUGACACAGCGACACCGCGUGUGGGAUGACGGUUCUAGGAUUGUAAACCACUUUCAGGAGGGAAGAAAAUGACGGUACCUCCACAAGAAGACCCGGCCAACUAUGUGCCAGCAGCCGCGGUAAUACAUAGGGGUCAAGCGUUGUCCGGAUUUAUUGGGCGUAAAGAGCUCGUAGGCGGUUCAACAAGUCGGUCGUAAAAGUUUAGGGCUCAACCCUAAAAUGUCGAUCGAUACUGUUGUGACUAGGAUACGGUAGAGGCGAAUGGAAUUCCGAGUGUAGCGGUGAAAUGCGUAGAUAUUCGGAGGAACACCAAUUGCGAAGGCAGUUCACUGGACCGUGAUCGACGCUGAGGAGCGAAAGCUAGGGGAGCAAACAGGAUUAGAUACCCUGGUAGUCCUAGCUGUAAACGAUGGAUACUAGAUGUAGGAACUGGAUUGACGGUUUCUGUAUCGUAGCUAACGCGUUAAGUAUCCCGCCUGGGGAGUACGGUCGCAAGACUAAAACUCAAAGGAAUUGACGG